rnacentral:rRNA from 1 species
GGCAGCAGUAGGGAAUUUUUACACAACUGGAAGAACUGUAUGAUGGAGUAACCCUGCGUGAACGCUGAAGUUGUUGGAAUUGUAAAGUUCUGUUCUUAGAGACGAACAACUACCGUUUGAACACGUCGGUACAUUGACGGUACUUGACGAGAACGCCAUGGCUAAUUACUUGCCAGCAGUUGCGGUAUUACGUAGGUGGCCAGCGUCGUCCGGAAUUACUGGGCGGAAAAGUGCGCGAAGGCGGCUACCCAAGUCUUGUGGUAAAGCCCGGGGUUCAACCCGCGGUUGGCAUCGGAAACUGUGUAGCUUGAGUGCAGAAGAGGAAAUGCGGUAUUCCACGCGUAGCGGUGAAAUGCGUAGAGAUGUCGAGGAAUAACCAGUGGCGAAGGCGGCUUUUUGGUCUGUAACUGACGGUGAGGCGCGAAAGCGUGGGGAGCAAACAGGAUUAGAUACCCUGGUAGUCCACGCCGUAAACGAUGAGUGCUAGGUGUUGGGGGUUUCAAUACCCUCAGUGCCGCAGCUAACGCAAUAAGCACUCCGCUUGG